GACGAACGCUGGCGGCGUGCUUAACACAUGCCAGUCGAACGGAAAGGCCCUGCUUUUGUGGGGUGCUCGAGUGGCGAACGGGUGAGUAACACGUGAGUAACCUGCCCUUGACUUUGGGAUAACUUCAGGAAACUGGGGCUAAUACCGGAUAGGAGCUCCUGCUGCAUGGUGGGGGUUGGAAAGUUUCGGCGGUUGGGGAUGGACUCGCGGCUUAUCAGCUUGUUGGUGGGGUAGUGGCUUACCAAGGCUUUGACGGGUAGCCGGCCUGAGAGGGUGACCGGCCACAUUGGGACUGAGAUACGGCCCAGCCUCGUACGGGACGCAGCAGUGGGGUAUAUUGCACAAUGGGCGGAAGCCUGAUGUAGCAACGCCGCGUGCGGGAUGACGGCCUUCGGGUUGUAAACCGCUUUCGCCUGUGACGAAGCGUUAGUGACGGUAAUGGGUAAAGAAGCACCGGCUAACUACGUG
rnacentral:rRNA from 1 species